CCUACGGGUGGCAGCAGUGAGGAAUAUUGGUCAAUGGCCGCAGGGCUGAACCAGCCAAGUCGCGUGAGGGAUGACGGUCCUAUGGAUUGUAAACCUCUUUUGUCAGGGAGCAAAGGGCGCCACGUGUGGCGCUUUGCGAGUACCUGAAGAAAAAGCAUCGGCUAACUCCGUGCCAGCAGCCGCGGUAAUACGGAGGAUGCGAGCGUUAUCCGGAUUUAUUGGGUUUAAAGGGUGCGCAGGCGGAUUUUUAAGUCAGCGGUCAAAUCGUGGGGCUCAACCCCAUCCAGCCGUUGAAACUGGGGAUCUAGAGUGUGCGAGAGGUAUGCGGAAUGUGUGGUGUAGCGGUGAAAUGCAUAGAUAUCACGCAGAACCCCGAUUGCGAAGGCAGCAUACCGGUGCACAACUGACGCUCAGGCACGAAAGCGUGGGUAUCGAACAGGAUUAGAUACCCGUGUAGUC
rnacentral:rRNA from 1 species